UGUAAGCGUAUACCAAAGUUGUUGCAGUUAAAGCGCUCGUAGUCGGAAUUUGGCAGUUCCGGAUGUGUGCACGUCGUGUGCGCACUUCGCGGGGAUUGCUUUUGUGGUCUUGCGUAGGAUGAGGCACUUUUAUUAGUGAACGUCCUCACGCAACCACUUUUUACUGUGAGAAAAUCAGAGUGCUCAAAGCAGGCAUUUGCCGUGAAUGUAUUAGCAUGGAAUAAUAGAAUAGGACUUGGUUCUAUUUUGUUGGUUUGUUGGGACUGAGUAAUGAUUAAGAGGGACAGUUGGGGGCAUUUGUAUUUCGGUGCUAGAGGUGAAAUUCUUAGAUUACCGAAAGACAAACUGCUGCGAAAGCGUCUGCCAAGGAUGUUUUCAUUGA
rnacentral:rRNA from 1 species